UAGGUGUGCCUUUGGCUAUUUCCUCUCUUUCUUCUAAUAUAAUACUAUUUUUCCUUUAAUAUGUUCUGAUUUUCGCUAUGAAAUCUAUGAUGCCUGUUCUGUUUCUUUGGAUUAGAGGUUCAUGUGCUGAUUAGUUGUUAAUUACUCGUUAAUCAUUAGCUAAAGAUGGGCAUUUUCUCCUUCAGACUUGAACUCUGGUAAGAAGUGGCCAUAUGCAUUGUCUAAUUAGUAGCUAGCUGCACCAGGUGCUCUGUUUAAUUCUAAAGGUGGAGGCUGUAAUGGUCCGUUUGGCAAUUCUAGCUUAUUUAGCAGCUCUUAACUGUUCUAUUCUAAUAGCUGGCUAACUGUUAUACAGCAGCUGUUGUUUUAUUAACCGUUAAGCUUGGUUUAAAUUAUACUGUUGUAAAAAUAGUGGUAUCAUAUCUUUUUAUAAUGGUCAGGACACUUAAAAAAUGGUUGCCAAUAGAGCCUAAAUUUUGGGGAAAACAAAAAAAUGGCCUAACAAUGUCUAUAGUUUAUUGGAUUCUAAGAUAAUUUUAGGUCCCAAUUUUUUUGCAUUUUAUAUUGCAUUCUUUAUACAGCUAAUGCAAACUUCAACCCAAAUUUCUCUUCUUCUUCUUCUUCUUAAUGAAAAUCUGUCAUUUAUAACUACUGGUUGGGAUAAUUCUGUAG
rnacentral:misc_RNA from 1 species